rfam:Hordeum vulgare subsp. vulgare, WGS project CAJW01000000 data, contig: morex_contig_274314
CACAUACUUCCACCGUCUUAAAAUUCUUGUCUUAAAUUGGUCAAAAAAUAGAUGUAUCUAAAUAUCAAAAUGUAACUAGAUACAUUCAUAAUCACACAAAUUUAAGACAAAAAUUUUAAGACGGAGGGAGUACAUA